CACGUAGUUAGCCGGGGCUUCUUAGUCAGGUACCGUCAUUUUCUUCCCUGCUGAUAGAGCUUUACACACCGAAAUACUUCAUCGCUCACGCGGCGUCGCUGCAUCAGGGUUUCCCCCAUUGUGCAAUAUUCCCCACUGCUGCCUCCCGUAGGAGUCUGGGCCGUGUCUCAGUCCCAAUGUGGCCGGUCACCCUCUCAGGUCGGCUACUGAUCGUCGGCUUGGUGAGCCGUUACCUCACCAACUACCUAAUCAGACGCGGGCCCAUCUUACACCACCGGAGUUUUUACCUCAGAACCAUGCGGUUCCGCGGUCUUAUGCGGUAUUAGCAGUCAUUUCUAACUGUUAUCCCCCUGUGUAAGGCAGGUUGCCCACGCGUUACUCACCCGUCCGCCGCUCAGUCACAAUUAUCUUCAUCCGAAGAAUCCAAUCAAAGUGCUUCGCUCGACUUGCAUGUGCUAGGCACGCCGCCAGCGUUCAUCCUGAGCCAGGAUCAAA
rnacentral:rRNA from 1 species